AGCACUCCUACGGGAGGCAGCAGUGGGAAUAUUGCACAAUGGGCGCAAGCCUGAUGCAGCCAUGCCGCGUGUAUGAAGAAGGCCUUCGGGUUGUAAAGUACUUUCAGCAGUGAGGAAGGUGGGUAUGUUAAUAGCAUACUCAUUUGACGUUAGCUGCAGAAGAAGCACCGGCUAACUCCGUGCCAGCAGCCGCGGUAAUACGGAGGGUGCGAGCGUUAAUCGGAAUUACUGGGCGUAAAGCGCAUGCAGGUGGUUUGUUAAGUCAGAUGUGAAAGCCCGGGGCUCAACCUCGGAAUUGCAUUUGAAACUGGCAAACUAGAGUACUGUAGAGGGGGUAGAAUUUCAGGUGUAGCGGUGAAAUGCGUAGAGAUCUGAAGGAAUACCGGUGGCGAAGGCGGCCCCCUGGACAGAUACUGACACUCAGAUGCGAAAGCGUGGGGAGCAAACAGGAUUAGAUACCCUGGUAG
rnacentral:rRNA from 1 species